rnacentral:rRNA from 1 species
AGCGCGGCGAAGCGGAACGGAAACGGACCGUGGAGCGCUGGCCAGUGAGAAUGCAGACACGAGUAGCGAUAAACCAGGUAAGAAUCCUGGUCGCCGUAAACCCAAGGUUUCCUGGGGCAGGUUCGUCCCCCCAGGGUUAGCCGGGAUCUAACACGAGGCCGUAAGGCGUAGUGGAUGCACAGCAGGUUAAAUAUUCCUGCGCCCGCCGGGAUUAAGGCUGCGAAUGACGCAUGGGAAGACAUCAACUAGGCAAUCGAAUGCUGAGCUUAGGUUUCGGCCGAAGCGCACCGCCGGACAAGUUGCCGAGAAAAGAUCCCAGUUGUUCCCCCGGUCGCCCGUACCGUAAACCGACACAGGUGGGUGAGUGUAAGCGCACUCAGGCGCGCGAGAGAAACCUCUCUAAGGAACUCGGCACAUUAGCCCCGUAACUUCGGGAGAAGGGGUGCCUGAAACCGUUGCAGCAAUGUGGCGGCGUAAGGUCUCAGUAAAUUGCGUUUAGCGACUGUUUAACAAAAACACAGCACUCUGCCAAGUCGUGAAGACGACGUAUAGGGUGUGACACGUGACCAAUGCGGAAAGAUUAAAACAUUGGGUUAGCCGCAAGGCGAAGCUCGGUGUCCAAGUCCCAGUGAAUGUCGGCCGUAACUAUAACGGUCCUAAGGUAGCGAAAUUCCUUGUCGGGUAAGUUCCGACCUGCACGAAUCGUGUAACGACUGAACGACUGUCUCGGAGAGGAUCUCGGCGAAACUGUAACGGCGGUGAAGAUGCCGCCUGCCCGCAGUAGGACGGAAAGACCCUAUGCACCUUUACUGUAAGCUCGUAUUGGGUUCUGAUUAACGAUGCGUAGCGUAGGUGGGAGACUUUGAAGUGAGUGCUUCGGUGCUCAUGGAGUCGCAAUGUGAAACACCACUCUUUGCUAAUUCGGAUUCUAACGGUCAGUUUGACUGGGGCGGUUUCCUCCCAAAGAGUAACGGAGGAGCGCGAAGCUUGGCUCAGCAUGGUUGGCAACUAUGCGUCGAGCGUAUGGGUAGAAGCCAGGUUAACUGUGAGACCUACAAGUCGAGCAGGUGCGAAAGCAGGCCCAAAUGAUCCGACGGUUUAAUGUGGAAUUGCCGUCGCUCAUCGGACAAAAGGUACGCUAGGGAUAACAGGCUGAUCGGAUCCAAGAGUUCACAUCGACGAUCCGGUUUGGCACCUCGAUGUCGGCUCAUCGCAUCCUGGGGCUGGAGAAGGUCCCAAGGGUCCGGCUGUUCGCCGGUUAAAGCGGUACGCGAGCUGGGUUCAGAACGUCGUGAGACAGUUCGGUCCUUAUCCACUGUGGGCGCAGGAAACUUGAGGGGUUCUAACCUUAGUACGAGAGGACCGGGUUAGACGCACUUCUGGUGUGGCAGUUGUUCCGUCAGGGGCAUCGCUGCGUAGCCAUGUGCGGAAGAGAUAAGCGCUGAAAGCAUCUAAGUGCCAAGCUCCUCCCAAGAUAUUGUUUCCCGGAGCGCAAGCUCCCUAAAGACCCCGGGUAGACCACCCGGUUGAUAGGCUGGGCGUGCAAGCGUCGUGAGACGUUUAGCGGACCAGUACUAAUCGGUCGUGAGGCUUGAUC